rnacentral:misc_RNA from 1 species
UCCCCCGUGAGGGGGCAGUCUCGCCUGACAUAUAUAACAGACAACGAGGGUUGCGUUCGUUACCCCACUGAAGGGAACAGCUCAAGCCACGAACUGACGACAACCAUGCAUCACCUGCCAAGCACCCUCGAAGGCUUCCUCCGUUUCUGAAGGCGUGCAGCUUGGUUUCUAGCCCUGGUAAGGUUCUUCGCUUAUCGACGAAUUAAGCCACAUGAUCCACCGCUUGUGCGAGUCCCCGUCUAUUCCUUUGAGUUUUAAUCUUGCGAUCGUACUACCCAGGCGGAAUACUUAUCGUGUUAACUUCAAGACUGAUAGGUUCCCCUACCAACCUUUAGUACUCAUCGUUUACAGCGUGGACUAC